rnacentral:sRNA from 1 species
AUAAGCCCAGUGAAGGCCCCAGUGUGGCUGGUGGGGUUGCUCUGGUGUGGGACUCAGGGUUGGAGGUCAUUUCAGGCCCCCUUAUUGGCCUCCCCGUCCCCUCUUUGCCUGCCCCAGUUGUGACACCGGCUAUCAGCAUGGGAACCUCUUCAUGUCCUUCCGAAGCCUCUUCCAGGAUGUGACUGAUGCCAUGAAUAACAUCCACCGGUCGGGCUGUCUCAAGGAGAAGACCCUGGAGGACUUGGAGAACUAUGUGGAGAAGGAUCCACGCCUCCCCAUCCUGCUGGGGAAGAUGAAGGAGGUUGGGAAAGUGUCUCUGGCCACCAACAGCAGCUACAAGUACACCAAUGCCAUCAUGACCUACCUGUUCAGCAUCAGUGAGGUGAGUGUUGGAGUGUUGCGUGCACGGCUGCGGUGGGCUGUGCAAAGGGCCGGGGUGCCAGGCUGCACCGCGAUGCUGAGGGCCUCUCCCAGGUCCAGCCUCCCUUUGAGGAAGACCUGAGUGUGAGUGGUCAUUUCUCACGAGUGGAAGCUCCCCAGUGGGUAGGAGCCUGGUGACCUCAGCCAGGC